rnacentral:rRNA from 1 species
GACAGAGGGUGCAAACGUUGUUCGGAAUUACUGGGCAUAAAGAGCACGUAGGCGGCUCAUCAAGUCACGCGUGAAAUCCCCCGGCUCAACCGGGGAACUGCGUGCGAUACUGGUGAGCUUGAGGUCGGUAGGGGUGAGUGGAACUCCAGGUGGAGCGGUGAAAUGCGUAGAUAUCUGGAGGAACACCGGUGGCGAAGGCGACUCACUGGACCGAAUCUGACGCUGAGGUGCGAAAGCUAGGGUAGCAAAC